rnacentral:rRNA from 1 species
UACGGGGGGGGCAAGCGUUGUUCGGAAUUACUGGGCGUAAAGGGCUCGUAGGUGGCCAACUAAGUCAGACGUGAAAUCCCUCAGCUUAACUGGGGAACUGCGUCUGAUACUGGAUGGCUUGAGUUUGGGAGAGGGACGCGGAAUUCCAGGUGUAGCGGUGAAAUGCGUAGAUAUCUGGAGGAACACCGGUGGCGAAAGCGGCGUCCUGGACCAACACUGACACUGAUGAGCGAAAGCCAGGGGAGCAAACGGG